GCAGUUUAUGACAUCCAAACGUUGCCACCUAACCUUCUCUUGUGAAGAAGGAUUGGGGUAGAACGAUGGAAGGACCACUUCUUAAAAAAGAGAUGAAACUGAGAGACCACCUUAGGAAGAAACUCAGGUUUUGGUUUCAGACACACCCUAUCAUGAUAGAAUUGUAGACAAGAUGAUAAGGUAGAAAAUGCUUUAAUCUCCGAAAUUCUUC